rnacentral:rRNA from 1 species
GACGAACGCUGGCGGCGUGCUUAACACAUGCAAGUCGAACGGAAAGGCCCUGCUUUUGUGGGGUGCUCGAGUGGCGAACGGGUGAGUAACACGUGAGUAACCUGCCCUUGACUUUGGGAUAACUUCAGGAAACUGGGGCUAAUACCGGAUAGGAGCUCCUGCUGCAUGGUGGGGGUUGGAAAGUUUCGGCGGUUGGGGGUGGACUCGCGGCUUAUCAGCUUGUUGGUGGGGUAGUGGCUUACCAAGGCUUUGAAGGGUAGCCGGCCUGAGAGGGUGACCGGCCACAAUGGGACUGAGAUACGGCCCAGACUCCUACGGGAGGCAGCAGUGGGGAAUAUGGCACAAUGGGCGGAAGCCUGAUGCAGCAACGCCGCGUGCGGGAUGACGGCCUUCGGGUUGUAAACCGCUUUCGCCUGUGACGAAGCGUGAGUGACGGUAAUGGGUAAAGAAGCACCGGCUAACUACGUG